rnacentral:snoRNA from 1 species
GAUGUGGUUAAUGAUGCAUAUUCUUUUUUCCCCAUCUUAUCGACUGUGGUGAAAAACAGCUGAAAAUAAGCCAAAAUGUCUGAAACCACGUU